CGUGUAGCUCAGUGGUAGAGCAAAGUCCUUUUAAGUCUUUGGUCGGGAGUUCAAUUCUCUCCACG
rnacentral:tRNA from 1 species